rnacentral:rRNA from 1 species
UACGUAGGGUGCAAGCGUUAAUCGGAAUUACUGGGCGUAAAGCGUGCGCAGGCGGUUUUGUAAGUUUGUCGUGAAAUCCCCGGGCUCAACCUGGGAAUUGCGAUGAAGACUGCAAAGCUGGAGUCUGGCAGAGGGGGGUAGAAUUCCACGUGUAGCAGUGAAAUGCGUAGAGAUGUGGAGGAACACCGAUGGCGAAGGCAGCCCCCUGGGUCAAGACUGACGCUCAUGCACGAAAGCGUGGGGAGCAAACAGG